AUUAGCCCUGAAAAUGGAUGGCGAUGAAGCGGGCAGCCGACACCACGCCGUCUAAUAAAAUAAACACGGUAAAACAGCACGAUUAGAUGAGUAGGAGGACGUGGCGGUUGUAUAGAAGCGUGUGCGCGAGCAUUCGUGGAACGGCCGCUAGUGCAGAUCUUGGUGGUAGUAGCAAAUAUUCAAAUGAGAUCCUUGAAGGGCGAAGCGGGGAAGGGUUCCACGCGAACAUUGAUUGAGCGUGGGUGAGUCGUUCCUGAGCCGUCUGGUAAUUGCUAGGCACCGGCGAAAGGGAAGCAGGUUGAUAUUCCUGCACACGGAGGUAGAUGCGGCGACGCACGCUGUGGCGGUGACGUUGUCGGUACGCACUGGACAGAGAUUUCUUUUCUGUUUGACAGAUCCAAAAACGCGCUGUGGAAUCCGCUUGUCGGGAGAAACAGGCGACCUUUUGGCAGAGCGCCGGGUAUUAUCUGGCGUCCAGUUUGCGACCGGCGACCCUUGAAAAACCGUCCGCGGAAAACUUCUACGCCGUAACGUACCCAUAACCGCAUCAGGUCCCCAA
rnacentral:rRNA from 1 species